rnacentral:lncRNA from 1 species
UCAUUCUACAAAGCCACUAUGGUGAAUGAGAAAAGCAGUCAUCAAAUAGAACAACUAAUUCUGAUAUGCUGACUAGCACUCUGUGAAGGACAGACUGGACAAUAAAUCAAUGGAAUUGAGUGCUUUUUGUCCUAAGCCCACAAAUUCAUUUACAAAUUCCAACUUCAUAUUUCAUGUCUGAUAAACAAUUCCUUAUGCAUUGAGGAAAAUGUAUCUGUGAGUGUUCACAGGGGGAGAGGUGUGAAAUUCAAUUUUUGAGAGUUUACCAUUGAAGAAAACUUUACAUAUGUCAUAACAAUUAAUUUCACACUAACUGUACAAGGCUUUAAUAUCACCUCCACUUUACAGAAAAUGAUUCUGAUGUUCAGGGGAGUUAAAUACACAUUCCAGGACCCAGAGGUGAUAAGUGGCAGAUCAGAUUCCAGAAUCUGCACCCUUUUUCUUACAGGUGUUUUCAGGACUAUUCCCUUGGCUUUUAGAAUGUAUGAUUUUCAAUGCGACUAUCUGCUCUUCCUAGACAGAAAAUUCUACAGGAGAAAAAGGGAAAAGAUGCCACAGGGGGUGAUGUUGCAUAGUCCACAGGGAGAGCUUUAACUUUUUAGAUCGUAAACACAGGUGGGUUUCAAAAGUGUUGAGAAUACCUAGUAUGUAAAGAAACAAAUUUUAAACAAAAUUAG